UGGAACAGGCAUGAUGGCUUUCUGU
rnacentral:piRNA from 1 species